UUCACUCCUCGCGUUCCCGCACAAAAAGUCCAGUAUAAGCCUCAAGUUUAAUUCAUAACCUUAAAUUGAUAUCAAUUAUCAAGUAUACAUUAAAAUUGCAGGGCUAUGAAAUUGUGUGUUAAUUGAAUUAAAUGUUAUCAAUGAUUUAUCAAAAACCUGAUUUUUCUUCUUACCGAUUUAGAAAAUAGAGAAAGUGAGCAAGCAAACUCUGCAAAUGGAUUAGACAGUAGGUAGGUACCUAGUAUGUAGUCGUUUUAUAGCAACGAGGAAUGAAUGAAAGGUUAUUUAGUUUAAGCGACAUUUCGCUUAAUACGCGACACAUUGCAUCUUUAUAAUUAAAGUCCGUUUUAUUUGAUAUUAGCAUCAGCAAUUCGAUGUUUUUAAUUGAGCUUCAAUUGAGUUUACCUCAUUCAAAUUGCUGAUAUUUAUUUCAAAUUUUAACCUUUAAAUGGCUCUCCUGUAAACUUACAGGAACACACACAACAGCCUUUCACUCUUCGAUAUGAACUUAUACGAAUACGUAUACGAGGGCUAUAUAUUUCUAAUAAGCCUAAAGUAUUUUUCCUAUUUUCUGUCUUAAUAGAAUGCUCUUCUCUGGUUUUCAGAUUGGAAAAAUAAAUAACAAAGUUUUGUAACCUUCAAAUAUUUUGGCAAACGAGCAUUAUUAAUUUAUGUAAAUAUCAUUCAUCAGACGUACCGAACAACAUAACGAAAUCAAUAAAACAAUAAAUCUGAGUAUUUGUUCUCGUGACCAUAACGAUGUUCAUUAAGCUCAUAACGUUUCAAGUUAUUGAAGCGACCUUGGGAGCAGUCAGUCGACACAAUCAAUUGAAAUCACUGUAAACGAGCCGGGCGACGCGAAAGGCACUUUAAAGUUCGAGGACACGCAUAUUACCGACGGAUACAUGAAAUAUUUCAUUACGAACAUCGAUCACUACACACGUGGGCCUUUUGAAAUACCAACAUCCAAUUUCCGAGGUUUAUUUAUUUUACAUCGUCAUUUCCUACAUUGUGUUAUAAGGCGAUAUAAGGUUUCCGACUAACACGGCGAAGGUCAUCUUACGAGGUUGCUUUUCUAAAAAUCUAAUUUACGAACGAAAAUAGUCAGUUAAAUUGGAUGUCAACAUGCCAGUGCAUUCGUGAAAAUGAAAGGGGAGAAAAGAAGACUUAAAUUUUUUAUUACAUUUAUGUUGUGUCUGUGCACUCAACACUUAACAGUUGGGUUUGUUUAUUCAAUUAAAUUUAUAGAUUGCCACUAUAACAAAUAAAAUUUUAUUUGAAUAAAUUUACUUACUUUAAUUGUUCAGUAUGUGAGUUAUUACAUGCUUUGUAAUUAAUUCUGAAUUUUUAGAAAUAAAUAAAUAAUAUUCAGUGUGUACAAUAUGAAUUAUAGCUUUUCAUGUACAUCAGUUUCUUAAAGAUAUCUUCUAUCUAUCUUGGGGUAUCUUCCCAGAAUUAUUUAUAUACAAAAAAUAUAUUUGUUUGUGUAAAUAUAAUUGUGAUUGUAAAAAUGUAUUUUUAAUAAAGUAAUAUUAUAUUAAUAUUAUUAUCUAAUCUGUGAAUAAUAUAAGCUUGGUUCUUCAAAUUAGUAGACAAAUGAGAUUAAGCAUAAUGAAGAUCAUUUUAAGUUUUAUAGAAUAUUAACUGUUUCACGCAUUAAUAAAAAAAGGAUAUUUAGAAAUACUUAUGUAUAAAAAAUACUCUGUUCAAAUUCUACAUGUUGCUCUUGUUUCAUAUUUUUAACACAAUUAUUGUUAUUUUGCAGUAUGCACUGAUAAAAGGUAAUAUAAUAUUUUUGUAGACUGUUUUCACUGAUAUUCAUUAUUCUACUUAAUCCAAAUGACUAUAUUAUUAUUUUUAUAAAAUCUGUAUAUUAAAAGAAAAUAAAACUUUAAAUUGACUUGAAAAAUAUAAAAA